rnacentral:rRNA from 1 species
CAGCCGCGGUAAUACCUAGGGUGCAGGCGUUAAUCGGAAUUACUGGGCGUAAAGCGUGCGCAGGCGGUUUGCUAAGACAGGUGUGAAAUCCCCGGGCUUAACCUGGGAAUUGCGCUUGUAACUGGCAAGCUAGAGUGUGGCAAAAGGGGGUGGAAUUCCACGUGUAGCAGUGAAAUGCGUAAAUAUGUGGAGGAACACCGAUGGCGAAGGCCGCCCCCUGGGUUAACACUGACGCUCAUGCACGAAAGCGUGGGGAGCAAACAGGAUUAAAUACCCUGGUAGUCCACGCCCUAAACUAUGUCAACUAGUUGUCGGGGAAGAAAUUCCUUGGUAACGAAGCUAACGCGUGAAGUUGACCGCCUGGGGAGUACGGCCGCAAGGUUAAAACUCAAAGGAAUUGACGGGGACCCGCACAAGCGGUGGAUUAUGUGGAUUAAUUCGAUGCAACGCGAAAAACCUUACCUACCCUUGACAUGCCAGGAAGCCCGCAAAGAUGUGGGUGUGCCCGAAAGGGAACCUGGACACAGGUGCUGCAUGGCUGUCGUCAGCUCGUGUCGUGAGAUGUUGGGUUAAGUCCCGCAACGAGCGCAACCCUUGCCAUUAGUUGCUACAUUCAGUUGGGCACUCUAAUGGGACCGCCGGUGACAAACCGGAGGAAGGUGGGGAUGACGUCAAGUCCUCAUGGCCCUUAUGGGUAGGGCUUCACACGUAAUACAAUGGUCGGUACAGAGGGCUGCCAACCCGCAAGGGGGAGCUAAUCCCAGAAAGCCGAUCGUAGUCCGGAUUGUAGUCUGCAACUCGACUGCAUGAAGCCGGAAUCGCUAGUAAUCGCGGAUCAGCAUGUCGCGGUGAAUACGUUCCCGGGUCUUGU